rnacentral:rRNA from 1 species
GACGAACGCUGGCGGCGUGCUUAACACAUGCAAGUCGAACGGAAAGGCCCUGCUUUUGUGGGGUGCUCGAGUGGCGAACGGGUGAGUAACACGUGAGUAACCUGCCCUUGACUUUGGGAUAACUUCAGGAAACUGGGGCUAAUACCGGAUAGGAGCUCCUGCUGCAUGGUGGGGGUUGGAAAGUUUCGGCGGUUGGGGAUGGACUCGCGGCUUAUCAGCUUGUUGGUGGGGUAGUGGCUUACCAAGGCUUUGACGGGUAGCCGGCCUGAGAGGGUGACCGGGCACAUUGGGACUGAGAUACGGCCCAGACUCCUACGGGAGGCAGCAGUGGGGAAUAUUGCACAAUGGGCGGAAGCCUGAUGCAGCAACGCAGCGUGCGGGAUGACGGCCCUCGGGUUGUAAACCGCUUUCGCCUGUGACGAAGCGUGAGUGACGGUAAUGGGUAAAGAAGCACCGGCUAACUACGUG